rnacentral:rRNA from 1 species
UACGUAGGGGGCAAGCGUUGUCCGGAUUUAUUGGGCGUAAAGAGCGUGUAGGCGGCCAUGCAGGUCAGCUGUGAAAACUCGAGGCUCAACCUCGAGACGUCGGUUGAAACCGUAUGGCUAGAGUCCGGAAGAGGAGAGUGGAAUUCCCGGUGUAGCGGUGAAAUGCGCAGAUAUCGGGAAGAACACCCGUGGCGAAGGCGGCUCUCUGGGACGGUACUGACGCUGAGACGCGAAAGCGUGGGGAGCGAUCCGG